rnacentral:rRNA from 1 species
AUUGAACGCUGGCGGCAGGCCUAACACAUGCAAGUCGAGCGGUAGAGAGGUGCUUGCACCUCUUGAGAGCGGCGGACGGGUGAGUAAUGCCUAGGAAUCUGCCUGGUAGUGGGGGAUAACGCUCGGAAACGGACGCUAAUACCGCAUACGUCCUACGAGAGAAAGCAGGGGACCUUCGGGCCUUGCGCUAUCAGAUGAGCCUAGGUCGGAUUAGCUAGUUGGUGAGGUAAUGGCUCACCAAGGCGACGAUCCGUAACUGGUCUGAGAGGAUGAUCAGUCACACUGGAACUGAGACACGGUCCAGACUCCUACGGGAGGCAGCAGUGGGGAAUAUUGGACAAUGGGCGAAAGCCUGAUCCAGCCAUGCCGCGUGUGUGAAGAAGGUCUUCGGAUUGUAAAGCACUUUAAGUUGGGAGGAAGGGUCGUUACCUAAUACGUGACGAUUUUGACGUUACCGACAGAAUAAGCACCGGCUAACUCUGUGCCAGCCGCCGCGGUAACAC